rnacentral:rRNA from 1 species
CCUACGGGAGGCAGCAGUGGGGGAUAUUGCACAAUGGGGGAAACCCUGAUGCAGCGACGCCGCGUGAGUGAAGAAGUAUUUCGGUAUGUAAAGCUCUAUCAUCAGGGAAGAAAAUGACAGUACCUGACCAAGAAGCCCCGGCUAACUACGAGACAGCAGCCGCGGUACUACGUGUGUGGCAAGCUUUAUCCGGAUUUACUGGGUGUAAAGGUAGCGUAGACGGUUAUGUAAGUCUGGAGUGAAAGCCCGGGGCGCAACCCCGGGACUGCUUUGGAAACUGUGUAACUGGAGUACAGGAGGGGCAGGCGGAAUUCCUGGUGUAGCGGUGAAAUGCGUAGAUAUCAGGAGGAACACCGGCGGCGAAGGCGGCCUGCUGGACUGAAACUGACGUUGAGGAUCGAAAGCGUGGGGAGCAAACAGGAUUAGAUACCCGAGUAGUC